rfam:Clostridium beijerinckii NCIMB 8052, complete genome.
GUGACGAAUUUGGGAGAUGCUACAAGCAAUGUAGAGCCGAAGGUGAAAUCGCAACAAACUCUCAGGCAAAGGGACCGAAUUCUGACG